AAAGGGAGAGAACAAUAAGGACAACACCAGGAUAUGACUACAAUGUCACCCAAGGCUUAAUUCCCAAAAUAUAGGACUGUGGUGCUUUAUCGAUCCAGCUUUCUGACCACAGUAAGGCACUCAUGACUGUGACAGAUACUGCCUUAUUAUCACAUUGAAGACUGAUUUUUGAAGGACCUUUCUACCUAAACAGAAAUGUAUGAAUGUCAGCAUCACUGUUUCAAUCACUCAGCACCCUACCAUCAAAGUGGAUAUGGUCUUCAAAGACAAAAACAGUGGAUGUGAUCUUCAGAGACAAAAUGAGCCCCCAAAAGAAGUCACUCUUGUUUAACUGGAAUAAUUUUUUCACAUGUAUCAUUGUUUUACACCUACAUAUUUUUAAGUAGAAGUAACAGUUAUUCAACAUAUUUUUUCUUUUAAUUUGAAUACAUGUAGAGGCAAAUGAUAAAAUGAUCACAUCAGA